rnacentral:tRNA from 1 species
GUCCCUAUAGUUCAACGGAUAGAACGAGAGUUUCCUAAACUCUAGAUGAAGGUUCGAUUCCUUCUGGGGAUA